AGCGUGAGUGGGGGAGCGGCAGAGAGAGAGGGAGAUACAGGAUCUGAAGCAGGCUCCAGGCUCUGAGCUGUCAGCACAGAGCCCGACGUGGGGCUUGAACUCAUGAACUGUGAGAUCAUGACCCGAGCCGAAGUUGGACGCUCAACCACUGAGCCAGCCAGGUGCCCCUCCACGAAAGAAUUUUAGGAAUCUGUAUAUUGUCUUUACUUCCAAAGAAUCUUCCAGAGGCUAGGGGGGUUUGCAUGACAGCCUCAGAUGACUGAGGCCAGCCUGACCUGCUCUGCAUUUCCAAGAAGUUCCAGCCUUUCUAGGAAUAGAUGCUGUUAGAUUCAGGGUGCCAACUGGCCCUUUUUGCUUUUAUUCAAGGCAUGAGAUAAGCUACCAAGGGACUCUCCACACUGCAAUGAACAUUCAGACUCCUAAACUGGUCCAUGAUUGAUUAGGAAAAUGAGAGCAUCUACAGAUGUUCUGGUGUCCUCAUGGAGGACCAGCGGUGACUCCCUAUUGAUCCUGACAUCCGAUACAAGCGUCUUCACUGACUGCCAAUUGCUCAGCCCAUCUUUCAAAUCUAAUUUUCAUUACAACUCAGCAUUAACACUCAGAGAGACACAGAAUGUGAAAAGGGGAGGGGCAGAGAGAGGGGGACACACAGAAUCCGAAGUAAGCUCCAGGCUCUGAGCUGUCAGCACAGAACCCGAUGCAGAGCUCAAACUCACAGACCACGAGAUCAUGACCUGAACCAAAGUUGGACCCAGGCGCCCCUGGCCACCUUUUUAAAGAUUAGAGCCAUGGAAAUGACUAUGGUAGGCAACAAAGGCCACAUGGAAGGUGUUAUGGACCAUGACAAGAAGAGGACACUGGAUAAAUCUUUGCAACUGAAGGGAAGGAGGCAAGCCAUUUUCCCAGAUUCCUUUAUUGGUAAGUGAGGCCAUGCAAUCAAGAUCUCUCCAAUGAAAUGCGAGCAGAAGUGACGUGCCACCAUUUUGACUGGUUUAUAAAAUCUCUAUACAUGACUACUCCUUUAUUCUCCCUCUUUUGGCUUCCUGGGACUUCAAUAUCCAUCAUGACCUUACAAGCUAUGUGUCGAAGACAGAGCUUGGGUCCCCGAGCUUCACUGCUAUCCCAAACUCUCACCCUGGACUAUUAAAUGAAGAAGAAAUCAUCUUCUUGUUGGCUAUGUUGUUCUAUGCUGUUGAAAUGUGAUAUAUAUAUUAGUUAUAGACAUAGACAAUUAGAUAUAUUACUGCAACCUACUCUAACACUAAUUGAGAGAGAGCACUUAGCCAAAAUCUAUUCUCAUUGCACCUAUGGGAAUGUUUUUCUCCUAACAGUUAAUCUGACUGUGGGGUGUGGUUAUUUGUCUUGUUGUUUUUCUGCAGCAUCCAAACAACUUUACUACUUUAAGAGAAAAUCCCCAAAGAGAUGGAACAAAGGGCCCUCCCUGUCUCAAUCUAUGGAUGCCAAAGUGGGGCAGAUAUUUCUUUUCCUCAUCUCUGGCAACUAGCAUAGGUGUUUGACCACAGCCUGACCCAUCAGAUACUCUACUACUUUGAAUCUUGAGCAAGUGGUACAAAGAUGCGAGGGUCCUCAGAGGUUUUUCAUGGCACUUUUGGUGUCAAAAAUUGCGUUGUGUGGGAGUGAAUGGCCAGUGGUGAUGAGUAGUGUUGCACCAGCAGUGUCUUUCCUUCUUUUGGAAUGUUCUUGGCCAUGUGUUGUUUCUGUUCCCUUUUCUUAACUGUGGUAGUUUAUACUGUUCAAUUAAACUAUGUCUUCUAGAAUUUCCUUUUCUGUAUGUAACAAGUUAUAGUGGGCAAAAGAGGAAUUUGUGGAGCGCCUGCGUGUCUCAGUUGGUUAAGCAUCUGACCCUUGACUUUGACUCAUGUCAUGGUCUCAUGGUUCGUGAGGUCAAGCCCCGCAUGAUCUAUACAGAUCUCUCUCCCCCUCUCUCUCUGCCCCUCCCCUGCUCUCUCUGUCUCAAAAUAAAUGAAUAAGCUUUAAAAAAAAAAAAAGAAGAAGAAUUUGUGUAAGACUGUGAACUCGGAAGGCAGAAGUGAAACAACAAACGUUACUCUCUGAAGGUCUUCAUGACUAGAUGCGGUGACAGAAUUAAAGGUUCCAGGCAGUACUUGCUCUCUUACCUCCCACCUCCAGCUUUUCUUCCCAAUUAGUGGCCCUUUGACUAACAGCAGCCUCAGGACCACCACCAUUCAUUUGGUGUGUGGCUCGCUGAAGAGAAGCCCAGCUUCCUUAGGUAAUCCCACAAGCCUUGGGAUCCCACUUUGGUGGCUGAAUGUGCUUGGUGGUUGAUCCUCUCUGAUCCUCCCACUUCCUACUGGACGCCCACUUCCCAGCAACUCCUAUAAUUGUCUUUUGGCCUAAUUUCCAUAAUAAAUUCCUCAUCAUAAAACACACAUGGUUCUGCUUCUAACAUCUCCCUGUUGAUCUCUGAAAACCCACACUGUUCACCCUGGCCAGCAAGGCCUUCUGUGACCAAGGCUCUGACUCUCCAGCAUCAUCUUGUGAAGUUCUUGUGCUUCAAACUGAGUUUCACUCUAGAAUACUCUAGCCUCUGUGUAUCUUAUAUAGUUUCACACCUCUGUGCUUUUUGCUUAUUCUGUUUUUCCCCUCAAAAUACACUCCUUUUGCACUUUUGUGUAAUUAAUUUCUGUUGCCUCCUCAAGCUUAGGCCCAGGUAUUAUCUCCUCCAACAGUAUUUGGGUGUCACCAUGGACCAGGUUAAGUGCCCCUCCCUUGGGCUUCCAUUGGCCUCUCCAUGAUGUCCCAUAUACAUUGUUUUGAACCCUGCUAUUUCCCCUCCCUGGACUAUAUCUUUCUUGGAGACAGGAACUAUGUCACAUUCGUUUUUAAAUCCUUAGUGUCUGUACAGAGCCUAACACAAAAUAGGCUUCCAAAGUGUUUUUUAAAGUCAGCAGAACUAGCUGUUCUAAAUGAGUUUGCCUUGAUAAAUUACAUCUCGGUAUCUUCAGAAAAUCAACACAAGGCUAAGACACCAUGUAUAAUAAGAACAAGCAAAUGGAGGUAAAUAUGGUAGAAAAUGGGUGGUUAAGGUAGUGGAUUUUAGGCCUCAAUAAAUAAAGAAACAGUAAUCACUGGAAAUCAGCAAAGGGUCCCCAAGAAAUUAUUUGUUGGUUCCCAGUCAUUUAUGAAAGAUAUUCUUUGAGCCAGGCACUGUAUUAGACACUCAACAUACAAAGGUAGCUAAUUUUAGCCCUGAAGUGAGUUCAAGUUUCAUGGGACAGCCACACCUGAGCAGCAUCUGCAUAGGUAUAGUAAUAGCUGCCUUCAUGACCUAUGGAAAACUUUACCCUAAAGCUGGUGAUUAAUAGAUCAGUGUUUACCCGAAGACACACUUAAAGUAACAAGCACUGAUCUUUUUCUCUUUUCUCUUCACCUACUUUUGUUAGUGAUAUAUAUCAUGAUAUUGGAGAGAGAGUUAUAUCGGUGGCUGAAUCAAAGUUGGGAGGGAUGGUAAAGAUGUAAGUAGGAUCUACAACUCUUUGUGGUUGCAAUAAUAAAAACAAAAUUCAAUCAGAUGAAUGUAACGUUCUGUACACGAGCCUUAAGUGCCAGUGUCCCUAGGUACAGGUUACCGCAAGAUGCAUUCCAACGGGAAAGAACUUUCUAACAAUCGGAGCCAUUGUCCAGAAGUGGAACAGACUAUCCUGGGACAUCACGUGCUGCCCUCACCGGAGCUCUGAAGCAGAGGCCGGAAACCCCCGUGGAUGCGGUGAGAUCUCAGCGUUGUGUUGUUUCACACACCCUGGCCUCAACCACAUGAAGAAUCUUAUUUGUCUGUUGUUGGGUCAAGAGAUGUUCCCUCCAGCUGUUGAGAAUCUUGUCGCCUGGGUAAAAUAACAGGGCAUAUUUUACAAGAGCUAUUAAAAUGGGCUGUAAGUGUGCUGUGAGGCACCAGGCCAACAGCUGGAUGGAAAUGGCAGGUUCUGGGCCAGCUGAAACCCUGCUUUCAAGUGUUGCAUGUUGCGCACACACACAUAAACACACACAUGUGCGCACACGCAUGCACACAACCAGCUUGGGAAUGUUAAACGGCUCCAGAUUUAUUUUUUAAUAUGAACUAAAAUGUGGAGUGUGGCCUAGAGGUACACAGAACCCGGCGAGCCUGCCCCUUCACGCCACAGGCCGGAGGCAUCUGGCCCAGGCCUAAAAGCUGCUGGAGCUCGGCGAAGAUGAAGGGUUCGGGAAGGCAUGCCCUCCUCCUCAGCCAGGUGACCGGGCAGAGGAACCGCAGAGCAACCCGGGCCGUCACAGCAUCUGGGUGAUUACCUAGUCAGACUGCCACCGCACAACAGUGAGAUCUCUCUUCUUCAGGCAGUCAACGUCCCUUGGUGAGUCAUUAGAAAAAGUAAGAUGCUACCUAGAUUCUACAUAAAAUACAAACACUUGUAUUUUAUGUUCCAUCCCUCAGCCAUCAUGUUCCUGUCUCACAAAAGUCACAGAUUUACUCCGGUCAUGACCGAAAGGAAAGGGUGGCGGAAUGGUAACACAUUGCUCUGCAGCUUCCAGAAUGUCGUCUUAGGGAAACGGGCAGUAUCUUAGGCGGGACUGGGGACUGCCGUUUGCAAGCUUUCGGUUUAAAAUGAUUAAUAAGGGGAGGCGGGAGGCAGGAGGAAGAGGUGUCGUUUUUGUCUCUGCUAUUGUUCUGCAGUCGUUUCUGUGAUGUUCGGAACGACACUUAAUCAGUCGGGGCCCCUGUUUAUCAGCUCGCCCAAGACAGGCCAUGGGAUUUAUUUUGUCAAUGAGCCUUGUUGUCUUUCAGCAGCCUCCAUUCCAGAGAGGAGCGUUUACUACUUGGCUCUCUGAACAAUGUCUGAUAGAGCUAAUAGCUUGCGGCUUUUUAUCCGUAUCCACAUUUUCUAUCUCGCCCAUAGCGCUGAAGGUGGAGUUGAGUGAAAUGUUUGCACUUGCUGAAAGUCUGAACUCAGACAAGGUGUCAGGAUUUUCUUAGUGGGACCAGAGGCUGUCAGGCUGAUUUGAUAGGGUGCUAUUGCCAAAAUCAAAAUACAUCUGAACAGAUAGCUGCUUCUGAUGACUCGGAGAAGCAGUAGUCAAAGCAGUACCAUGAGAAUUCGUCUUCAGAACCAUCAGACUGCCCUUGCCUUUGGAGACAUACGCCUCUCCCUUCUGCCUCCAUCUUCGGGAGCUCCACGCUGUCUCCUGUGCUCUCCUACCUAUUAUAGCCGGUGCCGAGCAAAGAAGGGUAACACGGAACAAAUCGACCUACCUUCUCCACUUGACAGCUUUCCAAAUAUCUGAGGAGAGUAACCACAUCUUUCCUUCGCCUCCUUUUUGCCAAGUUAAUCAUUCCCGGUUCUUUCAUUUGUUCCUCAUUUGACAUGGUUUCCAGAUUCUGUCAGACAUUUUCCCUCCCCACCGCCCAUCUGGACUGCCAACCCUGAACAAACUCUAGUUUCCCAAUGCUAUAGAAUAUGGUAUCAGAGACGGAACACAAUUCUCCAAGGUUCCAGAACUGACAUAGAGAUAGCACAUGACCUAGAAUUUGGUAUCUAUACUUCCUUUGAUGGGGUUUGCUAGCUACCCCAGCUUUCUUUCGGUGAAAAUUUUUUAGACAUACUGUGCAUCAAGCAUGGCACUGGAGAGACAAUAAUGAACAAGACCCAGUCCUCACCCUUGAAGAAUCUGUAGCAGAGAUCCACUCACCUAUGAACAUCAUAUGAGGUGAACACACAGCGAUAGGCCCGUGAAUAAGGUACAGGAGGGAGAGGUUAACAGUGACGGACUUUGCAGAGGAAGUAGUACUAAGCAGAGAUUCGACUGCUGCCAAGCCAGGUCUUUCCUUCUGAUUGUAGAUUUUCAAGUAUAGAAGUGCACUUUUUUUCUGGUAGCUGUCAAAUGACAGACUGUUCACUUUUAAAGGGAGUUCAGAGCUCCAACUUCAGUGACUAUGGAACUUCAACUCCACCUUCUCUAGGAUGAGACCAGCACAGCCAGUGCACCUGGAAUUCUGAAGAAUUCUGCUACUAGAUAUCAUUUUGUUACUUAAAAGGCCUCUAGAACUUACACUUGACGUGAUCUUUUCGGCUGGUACCAGCAUCCUGUUAGGGACCCUUGGUCUUACUUCUCCGAAAGGUGAUAGCAAAGGUUCAAAUCUACAAAGUCAACCAUGUUGUUAAGGAAUACACACUCGCAGAUGACACUUUGGGAAAAAAAUGUAAACAUGAAUUUAUAGCAAAGAUCUGUCACCAAAUUCUGGUUUGGUGACUUACCCCAGGAAUUGGGUGGCUGUUAAUAAUUUUCU